rnacentral:rRNA from 1 species
AACGAACGCUGGCGGCAUGCCUAACACAUGCAAGUCGAACGAGACCUUCGGGUGUGGUGGCGCACGGGGGCGUCAAGCGUGGGAACCUGCCCUUAGGUACGGAAUAACACUCCGAAGGGGGGGCUAAUGCAGGAAAAUGUAUUCGGACAACAGAUAUGUCGCCCUUGGAUGGGCCGGCGUUGGUUGAGCUUGUUGGGAGGGUAAAAGCCUAUCACGGCGACGAUCCAUAGCUGGGCUGAGAGGCUGGUCAGCCACACUGGGACUGGGACACGGCGCAGAAUCUUACGCGAGGCAGCAGUGCGGAAUAUUGGACAACGGGCGAAGGCCUGAUCCACCUAUGCCGCGAGAGUGAUGAUGGCCGUAGGGUUGUAAAGCACUUUUACCCGGGAUUAUAAUGACGGUACCGGGAGAAUAAGCACCGGCUAACUCCGUG